rnacentral:lncRNA from 1 species
CUCACAUGCUUUGCUGGCUUCUCAGCGUACUUCCUCGGCUCCACCGGCGAUUUCAGAUGUCUGUCCUCCAGUGACUUCAAAUUCUUCAAGACCGCAGCACUCUUUUCUAACCCCGCUGAUGUUCCAAAACAAAACUUGUGUCCAACAAUCAAACAGCAUAUUUGGAAACUACUUAAAAAGUUUUUCAUUCCAAACAACAACAAAGCCUUAUCCCACUAAACAGGGUCAGCUAUAUGAAUCCUACAACCCCGCUGCGCUAUGUUUUGUGCAUAAAAGUUUUUCAUUCCAAUUUACAAAAAUCUACAAUCGUUUAGAGUACCUGUUCUUAC